rnacentral:rRNA from 1 species
AGCGAACGCUGGCGGCAGGCCUAACACAUGCAAGUCGAACGAAGUCUUCGGACUUAGUGGCGGACGGGUGAGUAACACGUGGGAACGUGCCUUUAGGUUCGGAAUAACUCAGGGAAACUUGUGCUAAUACCGAAUGUGCCCUUCGGGGGAAAGAUUUAUCGCCUUUAGAGCGGCCCGCGUCUGAUUAGCUAGUUGGUGAGGUAAAGGCUCACCAAGGCGACGAUCAGCAGCUGGUCUGAGAGGAUGAUCAGCCACAUUGGGACUGAGACACGGCCCAAACUCCUACGGGAGGCAGCAGUGGGGAAUCUUGCGCAAUGGGCGAAAGCUUGACGCAGCAAUGCCGCGUGAAUGAUGAAGGUCUUAGGAUUGUAAAAUUCUUUCACCGGGGACGAUAAUGACGGUACCCGGAGAAGAAGCCCCGGCUAACUUCGUGCCAGCCGCCGCAGUAA